GCCAGCACAGCAUAGUGGUUUGAGUGUCAGACUACAAUUCUGGAGAUCAGAGUUCAAUUCUCAUCUUGGUC